GCAGCAGUGGCUUAGUGGCUAAGAGCACUGGCUGCUCUUUCAGAGGAACCUGGGUUCAAUUCCCAGUACUUGCA
rnacentral:tRNA from 1 species